CCGAUCCAAUUCUCAAGUACUUUCACAGCCAUGGAAAGCUGAUACUAUACCUCCUCCCAAAAAUGGCGUCUUUUCAUCUAAAUCUAUCCCCGACUCCUCUCCUGCCCAUUACCAGGCCUUCACAAGGUUCCAUCCGCAAGCCCCCAGUACAGCUCUCUUCCACUCUCCUGUCUCCCUCGUCUCUUCUCUCAAAGCUCGAGCCUCCUCCGGUCCUAGAACCUCUCCACGAUAAGUCUCCGGCGUCGCAAGAUAAGCAUGCCACGCCGCCGCUGCGGCCGCGGACACCGCCGCCGACGCCCCACGGGCGUAAGAACGACUUCUACCUCAACCUUGGCGUCGCCGUCCGCACCCUCCGCGAUGAUCUCCCUUCCCUCUUCUCCAAAGACCUCAAUUACGACAUCUACAGAGAAGACAUCACUUUCAUCGACCCUCUGAAUACGUUUCAAGGGAUGAGUAACUAUCGGCUCAUCUUCUGGGCUCUAAGAUUCCAUGGACGGAUUCUCUUCAGAGAGAUUAGGGUCGAGGUGUUCCGGGUAUGGCAACCCUCGGAAAAUUCGAUUUGGAUUAGAUGGGAGAUGCAGGGAGUUCCUCGCGUGCCAUGGGGGGCCAAGGGGCGGUUCCAGGGGACUUCAAGAUACAAAGUUGAUCGGAACGGGAAGAUUUAUGAGCACAAGGUAGACAAUCUAGCAUUCAAUUUUCCGCAAACUAUGGCAAGACCAGCAACCGUGUUGGACUUUGUGGGUGCAACUUGUCCUCCCAGUCCCAACUUAACGUUUUGGGGAGAUCCGUAUGAGGAAUUGGCUUCAUGCUCAUGGCUUGAGCUUUACAGGGCAGUGAGGGGGACUUUAGUUCAGGAAGAGCAGUUUCUGGUUCGUCCAGGGCUUGAUAGCUUGGUCGGUUGUGCGUAGGAUAGUUGGGAGGAAUGGAGGAGGAUGGUUAUAGGAAGCAUCAAGGGGGAAUGUUCCGUUUCGUUUGUACUUAGGUCUCUAUCCUACUGUAUAUUGCGAAGAAAAUUCUCUGAAGAUGGCCUGUGAAUUUCUCUAUUCCUGUGGUAUUUUCCUUCCCAUGACUCUGUUGAUUGGAUCCUGUGUUUCCAUUGACUUCUCUAUGAAACAGUUUUUUUGAU